GAUGAACGCUGGCGGCGUGCCUAAUACAUGCAAGUCGAGCGAACGGACGCUACGCUUGCUUCUCUGAUGUUAGCGGCGGGCGGGUGAGUAACACGUGGAUAACCUACCUAUAAGACUGGGAUAACGUCGAGAAACCGGAGCUAAUACCGGAUAAUAUUUUGAACCGCAUGGUUCAAAAGUGAAAUACGGUCUUGCUGUCACUUCUAGCUGGAUCCGCGCUGCAUUAGUUAGUUGGUACGGUAACGGCUUUCCGUGGCAACGAUGCAUAGCCGACCUGCGAGGGGGAUCGGCCACAGAGGAAGUGGAAGGCGAUACAGAGACCUACGGGAGGCACAAGCAGGUAAUCUUCCGCACUGGGCGGAAGCCUGAAGGAGCAGCGCCGCGUGAGUGCUGAAGGUCCUCGUAGCGGAAGACUCUCUUAUGGGUGAAGAACAUAUGUGUAAGUAACUGUGCACAUCGUGACGGUACCUAGUCAAGAAGCCCCGGCUAACUACGUG
rnacentral:rRNA from 1 species